UACGAAGGGGGCUAGCGUUGUUCGGAAUCACUGGGCGUAAAGCGCACGUAGGCGGAUUGUUAAGUCGGGGGUGAAAUCCUGAGGCUCAACCUCAGAACUGCCUUCGAUACUGGCGAUCUUGAGUCCGGAAGAGGUUGGUGGAACAGCUAGUGUAGAGGUGAAAUUCGUAGAUAUUAGCUAGAACACCAGUGGCGAAGGCGGCCAACUGGUCCGGAACUGACGCUGAGGUGCGAUAGCGUGGGGAGCAAACAGG
rnacentral:rRNA from 1 species